rnacentral:rRNA from 1 species
CACGUGGGUGGCGAGCGUUAUUCGGAUUUACUGGGCGUAAAGGGUCCGCAGGGGGCCUGCCACGCCUGCCGUGAAAUUCCAAGGCUCAACCUUGGACCUGCGGCGGGUACGGGCGGGCUAGAGUGCAAGAAGGGCAGACGGAAUUCCAGGUGUAGCGGUGGAAUGCGUAGAUAUCUGGAAGAACACCGAUGGCGAAGGCGGUCUGCUGGCUUGUAACUGACCCUCAGGGACGAGAGCGUGGGUAGCAAACAGGAUUAGAUACC